rnacentral:rRNA from 1 species
AUUCCGGUUGAUCCUGCCGGAGGCCAUUGCUAUCGGAGUCCGAUUUAGCCAUGCUAGUCGAGCGAGGUUAGCCCUCGCGGCGAACAGCUCAGUAACACGUGGCCAAGCUACCCUGCAGAGGGGGACAGCGUCGGGAAACUGACGGGAAUCCCCCAUACCGGUCUCACGCUGGAAUGCCGAGACCGACAAACGCUCCGGCGCUGCAGGAUGCGGCUGCGGCCGAUUAGG